AUUAACAAUGAAAGAGAGAUAAGAACCGGUUCUUGGACUGAAAAUAUUAAUAGAACCGGACUGAAAGGACUGCAGUCUUUUUAGACCAAUCCAAAACUAGUGUUCGUAUGCUAUAUUUUUGUAAAUAUAAUUACAAAUUGUUAUUUUCCACCCUAUGUAGUAUUCCGUACAAUUACUGUUACAUCACUUAUGUUCGUGUAUUUAGUGUUUGUUUAGUGGAUUAUUUAUUUUAAUAAAAUCAGUGUUAGUUCGAGAUUCUUACUUGCAUGUUGCCCCAGUUAUAUUUAUUUAAUCGUAUAGAAAACCCUAUUUUAUACAUUUACUAAUAUAUGAUUGAAUUAUAAGGUAACUAAAACUAAAAGAGCAUGUGUUGUGACUACUUGUAAAACCCAAGAUGUGUCUCAUAUCGCCGAUUUCCCAAAUAUCUUGCAAGAGGGGAAGGUUGGAUUUUGGCUUGUCGAAGAAAAAAAAAUUCAAUACUGAUGAAACCAGAGUUUUCGCUCAUCAUUUUGAUCCUUUGUGUUUCGUAUAUAAGAUACCUGAAGCACAUAAUAAUAGAGUCUACUGGAAAGAAAAAAAAACCUUCAAAAAAGAUAUCCUAAAUAAAUUAGGAUAGUAUAUAAUAUUUAUAUAGUAUAAAUAAUAACGUGUACAACCUAAUUGUUAUAACAUUGCUAUUGAUAUAUUUCUCAUGUAAGAAACAUACUUUUUUUUAUAAGAGGACACCAAUGAAUAAUUCAAGAUUUA
rnacentral:lncRNA from 1 species